rnacentral:rRNA from 1 species
GACGAACCGUGCGAACGUUAUUCGGAAUCACUGGGCUUAAAGCGCGUGUAGGCGGGCCGCCACGUCGGCUGCUGAAAUCCCCCGGCUCAACCGGGGAACGGGCACCGAUACGAGCGGCCUGGAGGGGGGUAGGGGGACCUGGAACUUCCGGUGGAGCGGUGAAAUGCGUUGAGAUCGGAAGGAACGCCCGCGGCGAAAGCGAGGUCCUGGACCCUUUCUGACGCUGAGACGCGAAAGCCAGGGGAGCGAACGGG